rnacentral:rRNA from 1 species
UACAGAGGGUGCAAGCGUUAAUCGGAAUUACUGGGCGUAAAGCGUGCGUAGACGGUAGCGUAAGUCGGGUGUGAAAGCCCCGGGCUCAACCUGGGAAUUGCAUUCGAGACUGCUCUGCUAGGGUGCGGAAGAGGGAAGCGGAAUUUCCGGUGUAGCGGUGAAAUGCGUAGAGAUCGGAAAGAACACCAACGGCGAAAGCACUCUGCUGGGCCGACACUGACACUGAGAGACGAAAGCUAGGGGAGCGAAUGGG